rnacentral:rRNA from 1 species
UUCCGGUUGAUCCCGCCGGACCUGACUGCUAUCGGAUUGAUACUAAGCCAUGCGAGUCUUUGUAGUAAUACAAGGCAUACGGCUCAGUAACGCGUAGUCAACCUACCCUAUGGACAAGAAUAAUCUCGGGAAACUGAGCAUAAUUCUUGAUAGAUCAUAAUGUCUGGAAUGGUUUAUGGUUAAAAUGAUUCGUCGCCAUAGGAUGGGACUGCGGCCUAUCAGCUUGUUGGUGAGGUAAUGGCCCACCAAGGCGAUAACAGGUACGGGCUCUGAGAGGAGAAGCCCGGAGAUGGGUACUGAGACAAGGACCCAGGCCCUAUGGGGCGCAGCAGGCGAGAAAACUUUGCAAUGUGCGAAAGCACGACAAGGUUAAUCCGAGUGAUUUCUGCUAAAGAAAUCUUUUGCAAGUCAUAAAACCACUAGUGAAUAAGGGGUGGGCAAGUUCUGGUGUCAGCCGCCGCGGUAAAACCAGCACCUCAAGUGGUCAGGAGGAUUAUUGGGCCUAAAGCAUCCGUAGCCGGCUCUGUAAGUUUUCGGUCAAAUCCAUGUGCUCAACACAUGGGCUGCCGAAAAUACUGCAUAGCUAGGGAGUGGGAGAGGUAGACGGUACUCGGUAGGAAGGGGUAAAAUCCUUUGAUCUAUCGAUGACCACCUGUGGCGAAGGCGGUCUACCAGAACACGUUCGACGGUGAGGGAUGAAAGCUGGGGGAGCAAACCGGAUUAGAUACCCGGGUAGUCCCAGCUGUAAACGAUGCAGACUCGAUGAUGCAUUGGCAUAUAGCCAGUGCAGUGUCGCAGGGAAGCCGUUAAGUCUGCCGCCUGGGAAGUACGUACGCAAGUAUGAAACUUAAAGGAAUUGGCGGGGGAGCACCACAAGGGGUGAAGCCUGCGGUUCAAUUGGAUUCAACGCCGGG